UACGAAGGGGGCUAGCGUUGUUCGGAGUUUACUGGGCGUAAAGCGCACGUAGGCGGAUCGUUAAGUCGGGGGUGAAAUCCUGGAGCUCAACUCCAGAACUGCCUUCGAUACUGGCGAUCUUGAGUCCGGAAGAGGUGAGUGGAACUCCUAGUGUAGAGGUGGAAUUCGUAGAUAUUAGGAAGAACACCAGUGGCGAAGGCGGCUCACUGGUCCGGUACUGACGCUGAGGUGCGAAAGCGUGGGGAGCAAACAGG
rnacentral:rRNA from 1 species